GACGAACGCUGGCGGCGUGCUUAACACAUGCAAGUCGCACGGGACCCGCAAGGGUUCAGUGGCGGACGGGUGCGUAACACGUGAGGAACAUGCCCAUCGGUGGGGGAGUAGCCGGCCCGAACCGGCCGGGUAAGUACCGCGUACGCUGCUCGGGGCGGCAUGCCCUCGAGUUGGAAAGCAGCAAUGCGCCGAUGGAGUGCCUCGCGGCC
rnacentral:rRNA from 1 species